UACAGAGGGGGCAAGCGUUAUUCGGAAUUAUUGGGCGUAAAGGGCUCGUAGGCGGCCAACUAAGUCAGACGUGAAAUCCCUCGGCUUAACCGGGGAACUGCGUCUGAUACUGGAUGGCUUGAGGUUGGGAGAGGGAUGCGGAAUUCCAGGUGUAGCGGUGAAAUGCGUAGAUAUCUGGAGGAACACCGGUGGCGAAGGCGGCAUCCUGGACCAAUUCUGACGCUGAGGAGCGAAAGCCAGGGGAGCAAACGGG
rnacentral:rRNA from 1 species